rnacentral:lncRNA from 1 species
CUCUAUGAAAAGUAAGUUUCUAAAGAAGCAUUAAGCCCACCAUUGUAACCUUUUAAAGUAAGUGUUUACAGCCGUGCUCAGGUUGCUAUAUAGUAAGGGAAUUCUUAAUGGGAAGUGUUAUGUGAAUAAUAUGUUAUAAAAAUUGGACAUUUCUUGUUCUUGUGCACUUGAUUGUGAAUUUCCAGAUUUAAUUUGUAAGGGAAAAAAAAAAGAAUUUAGAAUGAAGCUUAUCGGGCCUCUUAGCUGCUGUGCUGAAUGGCCAGCUUCUCCCAGCAAAUCAUUACCUAGUCACCUUCCUGAAAGAACAGCCUUUUCCUCUAGUUAUUGCAGAUGUGCAAUUACAUGCAGAGUCUGUUUACAGAUUCUUAAAAGAAAAUAUUUGAAGGGGAGAAUGUAGCCAUGACCAUAUAGAAAGUCAGCAUUGUCACCUUUACAUUAUUUGAAAUAACAUUUCCUGCCUUUUCUUUGUUCUAUGCUGCCCAAUGGAAAAGGUUAUUGGGAUGAAGAAAGAAAAUUACUCUGCUGGUCUUUUAGGGUAUGUCUGUACCGCAAAAUGUAGUGCUGGGCAGAUAUAUUCCAUCCAGCUCAGMAGGGAAAGCAAAGAAGCCAUGUCAUCACGGUGCUUGUUAGACAGAAGGAAAAAGCAGUUUUUGGAAAGAGAGAGAUCAGAGCUGUAGACAUUGAAGACAAAUCAGGCCUGCGGGGUGAAUCAUGAUCUCUCCCAACAGACCAGAGUCUGCAGCUGGGUAUGGAAGCAGGUGAGUAAGGCACUGCCAUAAGCAGAGUUGUUGAGGAGUGUGACAUUUCACUUAUUUCUCCCUGGGAUCACUGCCGUCCAACAGGCUAUGGUACCUGCUACUUCUCCACACUUUGAAAACCUGGUGUUUUGUGAUAUCCAUAUUAUUUUACAUUUUUUAAAAGUUCUGUUAGACUGUAAAUUCUUCCAUGUUGGGAUCAUCUUGUCUUCCACAUAGCACCUUAUAAAGCUGUCCCUGAGACUGGGGACUCUGGGAUGAAAUCCCUGCAGUAACACAGCUUUACUCACAGCUGCGGGAGCAAGUCGGCCUGGGGCUGUGACAAGUCAUUCUGCUGUUCUUACUCAGCUUCUGCCUCUCACGGAUGGAAGUGACAACUUUCUCACAGCGUUAGCAUGGCAUGAACUACAACUAAUAUGCCUUAUAAACAAGAGAAAGUACAACAGAGCUGCUCUGAGUCAUGGUAGAU